rnacentral:snoRNA from 1 species
AGGCCAGUCAGAGAAGUUAUGUGGGACUGUGUAAUCCAGAUCUCUUAAUGCUAUGAUCAAAGAUUGGAGUUCUCUACAGGAUACCAUAGGACUCCUUAGUGCUAUGGUUGUUUUUGUGAAGAUAAAUUG